UCAUAUGAAUAAAACCGAGUACUUGCUCAUGCUCAACCCGAUUUGGCCAAAGUAAAGUCUCUGAGCAUUUACUCAAAACGGUAUGAAUAAAACGAUACUUUGCUCAGAGUAAGUUCGAAUUUCGAACAUAGCUUUUACUCUGUCAAAAUGUUGUUUUUGUUUUGACUAUCCGAUUCAUGCAACGUACAAAGUUUAGUCCCGAGGUGCAAAGAGAAGUGCCUUUGCGGAUGUUAUUAGUCUUUUAUCGAUUAUUGCCGCUUGAUGAUGGAGUCACACACCCAGUGGAACCCAACUGUCUACUGGAAAUGCGUCGUUCUCAUCGUUGAGUAGAAAGCUACGACAGAUCAGGAGACCCUUUCAGCGGAACCGAUGCCUGCGGUAUUGAUUACCAUUAUCCAUCAGCAACAGCAUCAGAAUCCGAAGCGGUAGCAACGGAGAAGCUGUCGGUGUGAAAUACCAUGACCACCUUCGGACACAUCGGCGUAACCAGAUGGUUCCGGAUACUACAUCAGGGUGGAUAAAGAGGGAACACCAUCUAGGGAGUCGGAUCCUAUUUUUGGCACUUUUGAUUGACUUCGGCAGUGAGGCUUUUUUGAAAGUUACAGAGUUCAUGUUUGGCCACAAUACGCGUCGCACUAAAGUGCUUCUUUAUGCAAAGUUUCAGACAAUUCGGCCGAGAAAACUCCCCCAUGCCAAAGUGAAUCAUGGAAGUGUCCAAAGCUCUGCACCCUAUCUGUCCACCUGCUAUAAAAAAAAAACUAUGUGGAACAUGUUACGAAACCUAAUCAGAUGCUUAAAUGUUUUAAAUACCUUGUAGAAAAGGUUUCUGGUACAAUUGCGGCAAGGGGAACUAUACUACUGAUUAUCAUGAAAUAAAUUUAUUAGAUUUUUGUUAAAUUCCAGAA